AAUGAACGCUGGCGGCGCGCCUAACACAUGCAAGUCGAGCGAGGCCGCGGGGCAACCCGCGAGUCGAGCGGCGAACGGGUGAGUAACACGUGGGUAACCUACCCUGGAGUGGGGGAUAGCUCCUCGAAAGAGGGGGUAAUACCGCAUACGGUCGCCGGGCCACAAGGCCUGGCGAGGAAAGGCUGGGACCCUUCGGGGCCAGCCGCUCCUGGAUGGGCCCGCGCCCGAUUAGCUAGUUGGUGGGGUAACGGCUCACCAAGGCUGCGAUCGGUAGGCGGCCUGAGAGGGUGAUCGGCCACAUUGGGACUGAGACACGGCCCAGACUCCUACGGGAGGCAGCAGUGGGGAAUCUUGGGCAAUGGGCGAAAGCCUGACCCAGCGACGCCGCGUGGGGGAUGAAGGCCUUCGGGUUGUAAACCCCUGUCAGGGGGGGCGAAAGCCUUCCGGUGAAUAGCCGGGAGGUUUGACAGUACCCCCAAAGGAAGCCCCGGCUAACUCCGUGCCAGCAGCCGCGGUAA
rnacentral:rRNA from 1 species